AACCCAUGGUGAGGGCACCUUCUCAAUAGGUCCUUGUAUCUCUCCCAUGCAUUAUAGAGUGUCCUAGAUCCAUCUACACAGAAAGAAGAGAUAUCAUUCCUUAACUU
rfam:Gossypium hirsutum cultivar TM-1 chromosome 16, whole genome shotgun sequence